AACGAACGCUGGCGGCAGGCUUAACACAUGCAAGUCGAGCGGGGUGAUGGUGCUUGCACUAUCACUUAGCGGCGGACGGGUGAGUAAUGCUUAGGAAUCUGCCUAUUAGUGGGGGACAACAUUUCGAAAGGAAUGCUAAUACCGCAUACGUCCUACGGGAGAAAGCAGGGGAUCUUCGGACCUUGCGCUAAUAGAUGAGCCUAAGUCGGAUUAGCUAGUUGGUGGGGUAAAGGCCUACCAAGGCGACGAUCUGUAGCGGGUCUGAGAGGAUGAUCCGCCACACUGGGACUGAGACACGGCCCAGACUCCUACGGGAGGCAGCAGUGGGGAAUAUUGGACAAUGGGCGCAAGCCUGAUCCAGCCAUGCCGCGUGUGUGAAGAAGGCCUUAUGGUUGUAAAGCACUUUAAGCGAGGAGGAGGCUACCUGGAUUAAUACUCUAGGAUAGUGGACGUUACUCGCAGAAUAAGCACCGGCUAACUCUGUGCCAGCAGCCGCCGUAAUAC
rnacentral:rRNA from 1 species